UACGAAGGGUGCAAGCGUUAAUCGGAAUUACUGGGCGUAAAGCGUGCGUAGACGGCCUGUUAAGUCGGAUGUGAAAGCCCCGGGCUCAACCUGGGGAUGGCAUCCGAUACUGGUGGGCUGGAGUGCGGUAGAGGAGAGCGGAAUUCCCGGUGUAGCGGUGAAAUGCGUAGAGAUCGGGAGGAACAUCCGUGGCGAAGGCGGCUCUCUGGACCAGAACUGACGUUGAGGCACGAAAGCGUGGGGAGCAAACAGG
rnacentral:rRNA from 1 species